CCUACGAGUGGCAGCAGUGAGGAAUAUUGGUCAAUGGGCGCGAGCCUGAACCAGCCAAGUAGCGUGCAGGCUGACUGCCCUACGGGUUGUAAACUUCUUUUAUAAAGGAAUAAAGUGAGGCAAGUGUGCCUUUUUGUAUGUACUUUAUGAAUAAGUAUCGGCUAACUCCGUGCCAGCAGCCGCGGUAAUACGGAGGAUCCGAGCGUUAUCCGGAUUUAUUGGGUUUAAAGGGUGCGUAGGCGGAAUAUCAAGUCAGCGGUAAAAAUUCGGGGCUCAACCCCGUCGUGACGUUGAAACUGAUGUGCGUGAGUGUGCGACAAGUAUGCGGAAUGCGUGGUGUAGCGGUGAAAGGCAUAGAUAUCACGCAGAACU
rnacentral:rRNA from 1 species